rnacentral:rRNA from 1 species
AUUGAACGCUGGCGGCAUGCCUUACACAUGCAAGUCGAACGGCAGCACGGGGGCAACCCUGGUGGCGAGUGGCGAACGGGUGAGUAAUGCAUCGGAACGUGCCCCGUAGCGGGGGAUAACCAGUCGAAAGACUGGCUAAUACCGCAUACGCUCUACGGAGGAAAGCAGGGGAUCGCAAGACCUUGCACUAUGGGAGCGGCCGAUGCCCGAUUAGCUAGUUGGUGAGGUAAAGGCUCACCAAGGCGACGAUCGGUAGCUGGUUUGAGAGAACGACCAGCCACACUGGGACUGAGACACGGCCCAGACUCCUACGGGAGGCAG